rnacentral:tRNA from 1 species
UGCGAAGGUGGCGGAAUUGGUAGACGCGCUAGCUUCAGGUGUUAGUGUCUUAACGGACGUGAGGUUCAAGUCCCUCUCUUCGCACC